rnacentral:rRNA from 1 species
GGAUGAAUAUUGGUCAAUGGGCGGGAGCCUGAACCAGCCAAGCCGCGUGAGGGAAGAAGGCCCUAUGGGUCGUAAACCUCUUUUGUCAGGGAACAAAAGCGAGUAUGUAUACUGGUCUGAGUGUACCUGAAGAAAAAGCAUCGGCUAACUCCGUGCCAGCAGCCGCGGUAAUACGGAGGAUGCGAGCGUUAUCCGGAUUUAUUGGGUUUAAAGGGUGCGUAGGCGGCGGUGCAAGUCAGCGGUAAAAGCCCGGGGCUCAACCCCGGCGAGCCGUUGAAACUGCAGUGCUAGAGAAGGCGAGAGGUACGCGGAAUGCGCAGUGUAGCGGUGAAAUUGCUUAGAUAUUGCGCAGAACCCCGAUUGCGAAGGCAGCGUACUGGCGCCUGACUGACGCUGAGGCACGAAAGCGUGGGGAUCGAACAGGAUUAGAUACC